rnacentral:sRNA from 1 species
AAAAAUAAAAUAAAAAGAAUAACUCAAUUUUGCUAACCAUUAUAUUAUCUAUAUUAGUAU